rnacentral:rRNA from 1 species
AUUGAACGCUGGCUGCAGGCCUAACACAUGCAAGUCGAACGAGUGGCGGACGGGUGAGUAAUGUUUGGGAAACUGCCGGAUGGAGGGGGAUAACCACUGGAAACGGUAGCUUAUACCCUAUACCAUCAGAUGUGCCCAGAUGGGAUGAGCUUGUUGGUGGGGGAAAGGCUCACCAAGGCGACGACCCCUCGCUGGUCUGAGAGUAUGACCAGCCACAUUGGAACUGAUACACGGUCCAGACUCCGCCGGGAGGCAGCAGUGGGGAAUAUUGCACAAUGGGCGCAAGCCUGAUGCAGCCAUGCCGCGUGUAUGAAGAGGGCCUUCGGGUUGGAAAGUACUUUCAGCGGGGAGGCGUUACCCGCAGAAGAAGCACCGGCUAACUCCGUGCCGGCAGCCGCGGUAAUAC